rnacentral:lncRNA from 1 species
AAUUACUGCAUUACAGUGUGUGUGUGAGAAUAUAGAAAAUUUACUUUAGGCACCGAUCGUCGGCGACGGCGCUGCCGAGCUUCGAUCGAUGCGAGCCACCACCCCCGUCAUCGCAAUUCGCGACGACGACGCUCCACGCAAUUCAGCAAAAGUCACCGACGCAAAAAUCUGCACUCUCUCUCUCUCUCAUUCAUGCAUGCAAGCAAGCAGGCAUCUUCCAUUGCCGAUGCCUGGACGUCUGCACUGUUGGUCGGAGGCUCAGCUCCCAAUGCGACUAUCCGCAUCGGUACCUGAUUCCGUCGUAGACAAGUCAAGAUUUGGCGUCACUAUUGGUAUCUAGCAAGUGGGUCCCCACUCGAUCGUCCCUUUUU